rnacentral:rRNA from 1 species
UACGUAGGGGGCAAGCGUUGUCCGGAAUCAUUGGGCGUAAAGCGCGUGUAGGCGGCUUGGUAAGUCCGCUCUGAAAGCCCGGGGCUCAACCCCGGGUCGGCCGUGGCAACUGUCGAGCUGGAGCACUGUAGAGGCAGGUGGAAUUCCGGGUGUAGCGGUGGAAUGCGUCGAGAUCCGGAAGAACACCGGUGGCGAAGGCGGCCUGCUGGGCAGUGGCUGACGCUGAGGCGCGACAGCGUGGGGAGCAAACAGG